rnacentral:rRNA from 1 species
AACGAACGCUGGCGGCAUGCCUAACACAUGCAAGUCGAACGAGACCUUCGGGUCUAGUGGCGCACGGGUGCGUAACGCGUGGGAACCUGCCCUUAGGUUCGGAAUAACUCCCCGAAAGGGGUGCUAAUACCGGAUAAUGUCUUCGGACCAAAGAUUUAUCGCCUUUGGAUGGGGCCGCGUUGGAUUAGCUAGUUGGUAGGGUAAAAGCCUACCAAGGAGACGAUCCAUAGCUGGUCUGAGAGGAUGAUCAUCCACACUGGGAAUGAGACACGGCCCAGACUCCUACGGGAGGCAGCAGUGGGGAAUAUUGGACGAUGGGCGAAAGCCUGAUCCAGCAAUGCCGCGUGAGUGAUGAAGGCCUUAGGGUUGUAAAGCUCUUUUACCCGGGAUGAUAAUGACAGUACCGGGAGAAUAAGCACCGGCUAACUCCGUG